rnacentral:rRNA from 1 species
CCCUAUGGGGUGCAGCAGGUGUGACGACAACAAAAUGGUGAUGCCCCGCGUUUUCGCCAGAUCCGCGAUCAGGUCGAGCCUCUCGAGGCGCCCAUCCGGAUCAAGUCCGCUCGUGGGUUCAUCGAGCAGUAACAGUUUUGGGUCAUGGAUCAGCGCCUGGGCAAAUUUUACCCGCUGGCGCAUGCCGGUUGAGUAGGUCUCCAUCCGCUGAUACCGCGAGGAUCCAACCUUCACGUAAUUCAGUACUUCAUGCGCACGUUCCAUGGCGUCCACGCGUGUCAUCCCGAACAGGCGGCCGCAAUAGGUCAAAAACGAUACCGCGCUGAUCUUCGGGCAUACGGAUUCGCGCUCCGGCAUAUAGCCCAGAUAAUGCCGGAUCGCCAGCGAAUGGCGCGGCAUCCGCUUUCCAAACAUUUCGACCACACUGCCGGAAUUGGCGGGGGGGC